CCCUCGCUGCGCCGCCACUUCUCCUCCGGCCGCAACCGCCGUGGCCUCCACGACGAGCUCGGUCUUUAGUGAUUGAAAAGCAAUGGUGGAGCAUGGAAGCCCCCUCAACAAUGUUGAACAAGUGUUCAUUGCUGCCUGAAUGUACGGAAAUGGACAGAGCACGAAUAUGGUGGUUGGUCUACCGCUUGAUAACAGGCAGAUAAUAGUGUACAUGCUUGCUAGAAAACUUUGAUCCGGCAUCCUAGAUAUUACGGCUUUUGCUUUUGUGUUGCAUGGUUGGGUGAUGGUACUCAUGGAAGCAUUGCUAGCUUGCCUAUGCUUGUGCUUCGUAUGCUGUUGCUGUUUUCUGUAGAUGAACUGUGGUGCGUUGCAUGAUGACUGCCUCUGAGGGUUGGUAGAUAUAAUUUUUUAUUAUGAUUGAGGUCCUUUGUAUUUUUUAUGAACAAAAGAAGAAUGUUUGUAUGCUGUUUGGCUCAUCA